GUAUGCGUUGGCAUUGCAUUCACGAGGAGUUAAAAAUAAUCCCUUAGCCUUCCAUUAACAGCAUAAGAGACAUACUGUUAAGAUCAUAUUUAAGAGAUAAUAAGUGUCUUACAUUUGUAUCCCUUUGAAUGAGUUGUAAGGAUUCAGUGCUACGUAUUUGUCAUGGUGUUUAGCUUAGUGUGACUUCAAGUUCUGGAAACUACAAGCUCAUUUAUGGAAGUGGUACUAAGCUCAUUGUUAAGUCAAGUGAGUUGAAAAUUGCUUUCUUCUUUGAAAUUUUUUCAUCCUUACUAUUGAAAUAAUUCUAUGAAUUGACUAUUGGUGCCCCUAUGAUUUGUGAGAUGUAAUUAGAGGUCUUGUGGACAAUGUUUGUGUAUUCCAGCGCAGAUCUACCUUGUGUCAAUAUUCCGCAGUUUGAAACGAGAUAUGUAUUUAAGAUGGAUGACUGAUUAGAUAGGGUUUUAUGUGUGAUACAAGACAAAGAACCCUCAAAAAUGCUUUUAGAAAUUCGUUUUACGAAUAUAACUGGUUGUUGAAUGAAUUGUAAUGAUUCAGUGCUACAUAUUUGUCAUGGUGUUUAGCUUAGUGUGACUACUAGUUCUGGAAACAACAAGCUCAUUUAUGGAAGUGGUACUAAGCUCAUUGUUAAGUCAAGUGAGUUGAAAAUGGCUUUCUUACUAUUGAAAUAAUUCUAUGAAUUGACUAUUGGUGCCACUAUGAUUGCAUUUGUAAUUAGAGGUCUUGUGGACAAUGUGAGAUGUAUUUAAGAUGGAUGACUGAUUAGAUAGAGUUUUAUGUGUGAUACAACACAUAGUGUGAGGACUUCAUCAGAUAAAAUUGUCUUUGGGCAUGGAACUCAGCUCUAUGUAGAAACAGGUGAGAAUACAUCAUUAAUAGUGAUAUUAAUUGUAAAUUAUUUGGAUAACUGAAGAAUUUAAUAUCAACAAUUUAAGAUUUGAAAAUCAUACAAGCGUUAUACCAGCCACAUACUUGACAGAAGUUGUGACUACAUUAUUGUAAUGUUAUGUGGUGUGAAUACUGGCACUGUUGGAAAAGUCAUCUUUGGCCAAGGUACCAGGCUUAAUAUUGAAACACGUAAGUACAUUUCUGUUAGCAGGAUGAUUAUCACUUAUCUGAGUGAACAGUAUGUAAUGUCAAAAAUUACUAUGAAUAUACGACUUUCUGUUAAAUAUACUGUGAAUGGGACACUAUAACAUGGGCACAUGCUAUAUAUAUGCCAUCUUUCUGUUAAAUAUACUGUGAAUGGGACACUAUAACAUGGGCCCAUGCUAUAUAUAUGCCAUCUUUGUGUUAAAUAUACUGUGAAUGAGACACUAUAACAUGGGCACAUGCUAUAUAUAUGCCAUCUUUGUGUUGGUUGCAACAAAAAGGAACCCUCAAAAAUGCUUUUUAAAAGUUAGGGUAAGGAAUAUUACUGUAAUGUCAAAAAGUUUGAAGUGCAACAAAAUUGCAAGAAUGUCAUGCACUACGUUUCAUGGUAUUUGACAUGAUGUCAGUCUUGGUGUGAAUCAAGGAACUGGCAAGAUUAUUUUUGGCAGUGGAACCAAAGUGAUUGUGGAAUCACGUGAGUUUCAGAUAUUUUGUUUUAUUAAGACUGUACUGGUAAUCAAAUUUAAAAUCUCGGCUCAUAAUGAGCAUACUUAAAUGCUGUUUAACAGUAAAAGGGGUUUGCGCAGUACUGUCCAGAUCGUAAUAUGAUGUGACAUGGUUGUUGUUUUGGUAUUAAUAUCGUACGAAAUGGCAAAUGGCAAUAUCAGACAUUAUAUGUUCUUGGAACGUUUUAUAGUGUGUAGAAUUAAGCAUGCAGUAUGCACACUGUUUAAUGUGCCUUAGUGCAACACUGUGGGUUAGCUGACUCUACUGGAAGAGUGUUCUUUGGUCGUGGAACAAAACUUUCAGUUAGUCCAAGUGAGUACGCAACUAUUCCUGAAGUUUAUAUACUAAACGUAUUAAUUGGUUGUUUUUGAAUUUUUUCCGAAAGUUUAUGGUGUGGUGACAUAAACUAAUAACUAAAGCCUUAUCUGUAUAAUUAGCCUUCCAGUUGCAUUACAUUCCUAAUUUUUUUUCAUUUUGUAUACCUGAGAUAAAUAUGUCUGUGACCAUGCACUGUUGUGGGUGGCCAAACAAUGAAGCAGUUGAAUGCCUUAGUGACUACCAUCACUAGUUAAAUACCAGUGAUGUAAAAACCCUUCAGGUAGGAUGGCUUACAGAUAACAAUUCUGACUAUUGCUGAACAAUUUAACAAUACCCCAAUGAAAAAUUCAUCAGGGGUCUUUAAAAGCUUUUUGGAGGAGAUGUAUGUAGUUUUUGAUGUGGUCUAUACUUCAGUGUGACUACUGGAGGCUAUGAAAAAAUCAUAUUUGGUAGGGGCACUAAACUGACUGUGGAAUCACGUAAGUUUUAUUUAAUUUUGCUCCCACUUCAGUUCAUUUUGAAUGUUUCCAGAUAAACAAUGAAAUAUGAAUGAUAUUUUAUGUUUAAAACUCACUCAGGUUGAAAUAUCCAGAGUAUAGGUUGUCAAAAUGUCAUGAUGCUAUGUAGGUCCAAAGUAAGCCAUAUAUAAAUAUAAAGCUCACGUGAGGAUAUUCGCAUAUGUCAAGACAGUACAUUACUAUUUACCUUUACAGCAGUAUGUUUGGUUCAGAUGCUAAUUGAUAGCCAGCAGGCAUGAUUUGCCUUCACCCAAGUUAAUGUAGUGAGGGAGAAUGUUGUGUGUAUUCUGGUGGUAAACUUACCUUUGGCCGUGGAACUAAACUAUUUGUUUAUUCUGGUGAGUUACCUUUGUAUAGCUUGCCUUUCGAUGUCUCUUUUCAUAUUUUCUCACAUAGUCACCUGCCAGUUCUUUUAGUUAGACCACUAGUAUAUUUGUAUAUAUUGAAUUAGUUCCCUAAAGAAGACAAAUUCUUCUUAUCUCAACAGAGGUCUGCAUAGAUAGAAAAGGAGUGUAAAAAUGAAAUGCUUCAGACGCAAUUAAUAAGAUACUUUUAUAAUAUUGAGGAUAUUUUUUAUAAAAUCAGGUCGAUGAGUUUGUAGUAUUCUUCACAGAGCUGUUUUCCAGAGUGAGACCAAAGGUGUUAAUGUAGUCAGGUAUAGUGCUGUGUGGAUGCUGGUGGUAGUAGGAAAGUCAUCUUUGGGAAGGGGACCAAACUUUUAAUUCAGACAAGUAAGUGACCAGUAUGGACUAGGUAUUCGUGCUACUGUCAUGUAGUUGAAUUCCUUUCCUGUUUUAUUACCAACAUUUAAUGUUGGAAUUGGAACAAAAUAUUUAUCCGUGUUAAGAAAACCAACACAGGUUUAGAGACUGGUGGAUGAGUCUGUGUGAAUAAUGCUGGCACUAAGAUUGUCUUUGGGAAAGGGACUCGCCUUCUAGUGCAACAAAGUAAGCAAUGUUUUACAUAUCUAAGAUACAUACUGUAUUAUGUGUGAUUCAUAGGAUAUACUCUAUUAAGGUAAAUACAUUUAGGGCAUUACAGGGCAGUAGAAUACACUGUAUUAGCAUGAAGAUAUAUGAAUCAACAGCUAGCUAAACUGUAUACUGGUUCUGUAUAUUAUUCUAUCAAAGAGGUUUAUAGAUGAUAUACUUUAGGGAAAUACAUUUAGGGCAUUACAGUGUGGUAGAAAACACUGUAUUAGUACAAAAAUAUAUGUAUUGACAGAUGGCUAAACUGUAUACUGGUUCUCCAUAUUAUGCUAUCAAAGAGGUUUAUAGAUGAGCAAGUUACCUGAUUCUAUUCUAUUAUUAAUCCGUAUUAAAGGGAGAGAGGUUGCGGUAACCUUCUGUUGGGUUUUUGGUAUGAUGUAUUUCUUAGUGUGAAUAACCAGGGAUAUAAGAUCAUUUUUGGUCAAGGAACUAAAUUGACUGUGGAACCAGGCAAGUAAUCACACAAAAUCACAGAAAUUCAAUAUAUACUGUAUAUUCUAGAAUUUCUAGAAACUUUAGAAUAGAUGCCAGAUGCCAACUUCUACCUGAAAUCGCUCCUUAUUUUUCAAAACCUUAAAUCAUUGUAGCUCCUGGGAGAAAACUCUUUAAUUUGACAAAGUGUUACUAUCACAAUUGGAUGAAAAUAAAUCAUUUCUCAGCAGUUUGAUAACCUGUCAAAAUGUUUAGUUUACAUAUUACUAUGUCAGAAUUUAAAUGUAAAUAUCUAAUCUAAAUAUAUACAUUUAAAUUCUCACAAAAUAGCUUAAAAGUAUUUACAUGAUCCAAUGUAUGUAUGUGUUGUCGAUAGUUCUGGGUUUUUGGCAUGGUCUUCUACUUUGUGUGACUACUCAGGGAGGAUAUAAGAUCUUUUUUGGUCGAGGAACUAAACUUACUGUUGAAUCAGGCAAGUGAAAUACAAAUACAUCUCUUACUUUGUAUAUGAGGGAAUUGUGUAUACAGGGAUGAGGUAUUGGUUGUGUACUAAUGCACUGUGUGACAAGUGGAUCUUCAAACAAGCUGACUUUUAGCAAAGGAACAAAGCUUUUUAUCCACACCAGUAAGUGGAUGCACAAACUCUUUGAAUGAUUCAAUAGCAGUAGAACAUGAAUAGAACAAUAUUACGUAUGUCAAGAGAAAGAUUUUUGAGUUGAAAGAUAUCUCAACUUUGCCAUACCAUACUCUUCAGUUUACAUGCUUUUAGCAUACAAAGAGUGAUACAAAUGAGAAAUCAAUUAAUAAAAAGAGAACUUUGAUUACAUGAUGAUAAUUAUAUUAGUGAUGUGGAUUGAAAAAGAAAGAAUUUGGGUUUUAUGUGCCAUGGGUUUUUGGCAUGAUGUCUUCCUUAGUGUGACUAACCAGGGAAAUAAGUUCAUUUUUGGUCAAGGAACUAAACUGACGGUCGAACCAGGCAAGUCAAAUUCACAAAAUCACUAAAUGUCUGCAAACAGGGACAUGUUCUGUUCAGGCUGUUCUUGUUAAGAGGGUUUAUGGAAAGACAUUAUACUCCUUGUAGUGGAGGAAUAUACACUCUUAAUGGGACAAAGGUAGUACAUUGUUAGAGUAAUAGAACAUGAAUUGAACUAAAGUAUGCAUUAAGAAGGAACAGCCAACCAACUGCCAGACUACCAUUAAAAUAAGUCUUUUUAAAUCCUUGUUUCAAAAUUAAAUUAAAUUACGAAAGUAACUUCUAAACUAUUACUAAAGGCCGGAUAAACAUAUUUUUCAAAAAAAUUGCAUGAUACAAAGUGUGUAAGUGUUGUCGAUAGUUCUGGGUUUUUGGCAUGGUGUCGUUCUUAGUGUGACUCAGGGAGCACAGAAGAUCAUUUUUGGUCGAGGAACUAAACUGACUGUGGAAUCAGGCAAGUGCAAUCCCAAUAAAUCUCUUAAUUUAGAUGUGAGGGAAAUCGCCAGGAGGAUUAGGUAUUUGUUUUGAAGGCACUGUGUAGAUUGUAGACAAGCUGACCAUUAGGUAAGGAGCAAAGCUUUUUAUCCUAACCAAAAAUUCACAACAUUUCAAGAUUAGUCAGAACUUAUAUCUAGCUAAAUAUUAAGAAUAACUCCAUGUGAUAGAACAUAAUGAAGUCAUCCUGACAAGCACGACUUAAGACAGAACAGACUGAAAAACUGUUUGAAAUUAAUGUAAGUAAUUGUGGAAUGUGAAUCAAGUCAGAGUGGGAGCAACUAGCCCUGUUUUUGUAGUCAGAUAUAUUGCAGUGUGAAUACUGGUAGUCAGGGAAGAGUCUUCUUUGGACGUGGAACUAAGCUCAUUGUCCAAACAAGUAAGUCACAAGCUAAGCAGUAUUAUUUUCUUCUUUUUUUCUUUUUGCAGUGAAGAAAAUGUACUUUUCUAACUAAGAAUGCCAACCCCAAAUGUAGUUAAAAGAUAUACACAUCUAUAUCAAAUACACGUAUUAAUUACGUAUUAAAUGUAUCUAAGUGUAGUGUUUAUAAAUGUGAAUGCUAUUGAGAUGUAUGAGACAUUUUUUUAAAUUGUAAUUGUCAUAAUAGCGUUACUCAAACCAAAAUGUAUAUAAACCAACAAUUAACUGAACGAUCAAGUCUUUAUAAACUAUUACUAAAAAACAUCAUAAAAGUAUUUUCUCCACUUAAAAGCUUAAAAAUAUAACAUAUGUAGUCGAUAGUUCUGGGUUUUUGGCAUGGUGUCUUACUUAGUGUGACUGAUCAGGGAGGAAGGAAGAUCAUUUUUGGUCGAGGAACUAAACUGACUGUGGCAUCAGGCAAGUGAAAUGUCAUGAAAUAUCUUAAUUGUAUAUGAGAGAAAUGGGCAUACAGGUUUGAGGUAGUUAUUGUGUAUUAAGGCAAUGUGUAGCUGGUGGAUUUGCAGCAAAGCUGACCUUUAUCAAAGGAACAAAGCCUUUCUUUUCAGGCCAAUUAGUGGACAUGGAUUUGUUAUGAUUUAGUUGUAGUGUUUCAGGAUUUAGUGCAUUAAUAUCUAUCAUUACUAACAGAUCAAUUCCAUUUUAUUUUAGCAUUUUUGCUAUUAGCAGAUGCUCAUCAAACAGGCUAGACAGUAUAAAUACAACAUUUUAUUGUAUAUGUGGAAACAUUUUGUGUAGAUUAAAACAUAGGUCGUCCUUAAGAAUGAAAUCCUUAAGGUGUUCUUGUCAUGAUGCUGCAUAAUGUGUGACUGCUGGGGGUGGAUCUGGCAAGCUUAUCUUUGGAAGUGGCACCAAAUUACUAAUUGAAUCAAGUGAGUAUUCUGUAGAUGUUUUGUAGUUCUCCUGGUUCUUUGUUAUAUAAUACUAUUGACAUCCGACAAAAUCCCAAGUUUCUGUGAAAUGAAAGUCCUAUAAUAACACUGCAUCACAAUGCACUGAAAAUCAUCAAUUAAUCAAAAAUGCAAAUCAUCUUAAGUAGUAUCAUCUUUAGUAAACUAAAGCGUCUACUGAAUACUACAACCAUAACCAUAAACAAAUUAUGUAAGGAGUAUGUUAUGUGCUUUGGAUUGGAAGAGCAGCUCUUGUAAUUUUUGAUAAGCCAUUACCCAGUGUGUGAAUGAAGAUUAUCUUUGGAAGGGGAACCACUGUACUUGUACAAACAAGUAAGCCUAAUUUACUUUUUCACAACAUGCAUCGGAUUUGGACGUUGGUUAGAUAAAUGGUGGAAAGUUGAAAUUACAAUGGACAAUUCAUUUGUACAAUUAAUGUACAGAUUGUAACUCAUAAUAUUAAAUAUUCAAGUUUAUGUAGUCAGGUAUGACACUGUGUGACUACUAGUAAUCAGGCAAAACUUCUCUUUGCUCAUGGAACCAAAGUCAUUGUCCAAACAAGUAAGUAUGUUAUAAACAAUUAUAAUGGUAUAUUCUUAGGAACUUUACUGUUGCUCUUCCCUAUUAAUGUUAAAAGUUUAACUUUUACUUCUACAAAGAAUCCAGACCUGAUAGAGAAAUGGUAAAUAUAGAUUUGACAAAGCCCUGGUUGCACAAUGCAGUAUAAAUAUGUAUACAUUUCAUUGUGUAUGUCAGGAGCUAUUUGAGAUAGAUUAAAACAUAGGUCGUCCUUAAGACUCCUUGUGAGGUGUUCUUGUCAUGAUGCUGCAUGAUGUGUGAAUUCUGGUAGUGGAAAUGGCAAGCUUAUCUUUGGAAGUGGCACCAAAUUACUAAUUGAAUCAAGUGAGUAUUCUGCACCAAUUUUUUUAUGACAAUAGAGCAGUCAAUAGUAUUUGUUGUGAAGUUUUUAGUAGUGUGACUACUGGAGGUGGACUUGCUAAGCUUAUUUUUGGAAAUGGCACAAAGCUGAUAAUUGAGAAAAGUAAGUUGUUUACACCCUUGUUUGUUUUCUUAUUUAGCAGUAAGAUAGAUGCCAUAAAACGUUUGAUAGAGAAAUAUGUAUUUGAAUAUCUUUGAAUAUGAAUGUUUUCUAAUUAUAUCUACAAAAUUAGCAUAAACCAAGGUAUCUUGUGAUGAGAGCUUUGUGCAAAAGUACAUGCAUAAGCCUGGUUUUUGCUGGGAUGCCCCAUAUUGUGUAACUACUGGACUGAAGAAAAUAAUCUUUGCAACCGGAACCAAACUAGCUGUCUUUUCCAGUAAGUACUUUUACAAAAUUCUACUGAUCCACUAGUGUAGAUUGUUGGUCAAAAUAGCAAAAAUUUGUGUUAAUUUCAGACUUCAGAUUUCCCCAUUUGCCUUGAAGUAUAUGUGUGAGACUAAAGUACUGUGUGACACAGAACACCAACAAAAUGAUCUUUGGAACUGGUACAAGGCUGAUUGUUGGCAACAGUAAGUGUGAGUUCUGUUGAAUUAUCAAGUUGAUUUAAAUCCCUUUUUUAGGGUGAUGUAGAUAUCUGUAGUGUAAUAUUGUUUUAGAGUUGGACAUAGUCAACUAGGUGUCAAGUUACUCACAUUCAUCUUUAAGGCUUUAGAGCCUGUUUGAUAUUUUUUGGAGUGGCUGCCACCAUUGUGUGAAUCUUAGGGCAAGAAAAACAACCUUUGGAAGAGGGAUUGCCUUGUAUGUUGAACCAAGUAAGAGUUCCAUUCUAUACUCCUGAUGAAUAUCACUGUUGAAGUGUAACUGUGUCACUUAAUAGUCAUUGUUCAACUGGAAUCUGGAAUUUGGAAAAUAGAAUGCUAAUAUCUUGAAAUGAGUAACCUAUGUGUCAGGUUUUGCUCUUUAAACUAUUAUGUUCACCUAUCACUAAUAUUUAUUUAAAAUCUAAAAUGUACAACCACUAUCAUCAGACAAUAAGUUAUUAUAUAGACCUCACACACAGUGUGACUAACACUGGAGGUGGGAAAAUCCUGUUCGGUUCAGGCACAAAAUUAAUAAUUAAGACAGGUGAGUGGAUUUUCUAAUAUUUGUUAAUUUUCUUUAUUGGUGGAUUUUCUAACAGAUUGUUUUACUGUUGUAUGUUUUUGAGUGCGAUUUAGGGCAUUAAUUGAAUGUUAUUUAAGUUUUGCAUCUGUAGGUAACAGAUGGCUGAUUGGUUUGGUCUCUGUCAGUUUAGUAAAAGUUUGAUCCAAAAAUGAAAUUAUUUCUAUUAUUUAUUAGUUAUUUAUGGAUAUGUAAGCACAAACGUUUAGGUUCAUGUUUCUUGGUGGUUAGGUAGCAACUUCAACUGCACUGUAUUACAGAGAGGUUCUGUGUAUCAUGUUUAAGGGGAAUGGUCACAUGCAUAUUUAUUUCCAAUUUUAUUUCAUAAAAAUCAUCCGUAAAAUCAACGCUCAGUCCUAAAACCAUUAGCUGCGCUUCAAAUAUGAAAUAUUUUUAAAAAUUAUGUUAAAAGUUUGCGGCUGUUAGCAAGAUUUGCUAAAGGAGUUAUUGCUACAUAUUUGAUGACAGUGUGAUGUAUGGAAACAAGCUGGUGUUCGGUCAGGGCACCAAACUCACAGUUUAUUCCAGUAAGUACAUUUCCAACUGGCUUGAUUCAGUAAACAUCACAUUUUAGUAUGUAUAUAAGCAAAAGGCCAGUGCAGUUUAAGUGUGCUAUAUGCAGCUAUUGUAACUAUAUGUAUCUGGCAAAAACUGUAGUCUUACUAUAACAAUGCAGUUAUGAAAGAGCAGGGACAUGUUGAAAGUGUACCCCAAUAGAUUUGUGCAAUCCACACAUCUUGGAUCUCUGUUUUCAAGAUUGGACAUGCAAUCAAAUAAUCCACAAUAGAAGACCUGAAACAGAAUAUUCAGGCGUCUUGGGAAAAUGUGUUUUACAUGCUUUUAGAGUUUGAAGUGUCAUGCAUAUCUGAGAGUACUUUUUGCUAAGCCAGUAGCUAGUGUGUGAAUGAUGGAGGUUCAAAGAUCAUCUUUGGAAGAGGAACAAAACUAUUCGUCGAAUCAAGUAAGCAUCAUAUUUAAAUGGAUAUCAGUAAUGCUUUAGCAAUCACACUUUAUUUGUUAUAAGGUUACAGGAGAAAUAGUGUCAGGCCAUUAUUAUUUAGAGUUAUACAACAUUAUGUGCUUUCUCAUGCUAUGAAGCAUACAUUUAAAUUCAUCCUGAUGACAAAGGAGACUAUACAAGUCGUUGUUUUGUUGAGAUAUAUAUUGGGAGAUAUAGGCUAAGAAAACAAUGCCUUAUAAUAUCUAAGUUUCAUGUUAGCAUCGACUGCUAACCGGUAAAAUAAGGCAGGCUGGUUUUUGCUACCUGCACCCUUACUGUGUGAAUACAGCGAACUACAAAAUUAUCUUUGGAGCUGGCACUAAACUCAUUAUUGGCUCAAGUAAGGAAAGAUUCACUACAUAUUAAAUGGAUAUAUAACAUAUGUAACUAUAACCAUAACUUGUUAUUAUAACUUUUUGUAUAACAAGCUAAUGAUCUUGGUAUGUAGUUUCAUGAAAAUAUGGAGAAAAUAGUUUUUGAUUGUGUUUAUGAUUGUGUUUUAACCAGGUUCAACUAGUUAGUAUAAAUAUUUGUCCCACUGAUAAGAAUAGUUUUUGGAUGUAUAGACAGUAAGAGUUUAAAACAGUUUGAUUCGUAUCAUAAUUUGCCCCUAGUAUUGGUUUAGGAAGUUGACAUAGUGUGACAUCUGGAGCAAACAAAAUCAUUUUUGGAACUGGAACAAGAUUAACCAUUGACACAAGUAAGCUUUUACUUGAAAUGAAUUAUGCCUCAUGUCCUGAACACCUGGUAGUUAGUUUCGGUAUGGUCCCUAUUACAUUAAUUAGUUAAACUGAUAAAGUAACUCAACUCUAUUUUAGGGUGGUCUUAUCAGAAUUUUUUGGUCACAACCAAGGGGAAAAUGUCUUGAUGUUUACUGACCAGAUGAAAAAGCUGGUGAUGUCUUUUUCUGAAUGUCAGAUUGUUGCUACAUUAGAUAUUUUAUUAGCACCUUGUGUGUUUCCAUGAAGUAGGCUUCAUUGGUUAAGAUCACUUUGUACCUUUUACCAUCAAUUUGGUGUUUAUAGUGUACACCAGCUGUUGGCACAUAUGUGAAGAGUUUAUUGAACAGGCCUUUAGCAUAGUGUGACACAAACUGGUCUCCAGAGAGUUGUAUUUGGAAGUGGCACCAAAUUGACCAUAAAUAGCGGUAAGUAUUAUACUUCGGUUGUCCACAUUAUUAGAUAGAUGUGAUAGAUUUCAUAUCAUAGUGAUAACAAACUUAUUUUAUAGUAUCUAGAUUAUGGUAUUGUACUAUUUUAAACAUAAAUACCAAUCAUACUAAUCAGAAUUGGAAUGUGUUGGCUUUCUAUGACUACCUUUACUCCAUCUAUCUCAGUCAUACUUUUUAAAGCCCAAUUUCAUAACCUGCUGAAUUUGUCCUGUUGUAAGAAACUAUGUAUGACACAUUUUAAGUCGUGGGGGAUUGUUUAUGUCUUUUUGUAUUUCUUAAAAGUUGCUUACGUUUACUUACGUGAGAGUACUUUUUGCUGAGCUGCUAGCCACUGUGUGAAGGAUGGUUUUAAGAUCAUCUUUGGAAGUGGAACAAAACUUCUUGUCAAUUCAAGUAAGGUUUAUUGUUCAAAUGUUUACCAGUCCAACUUUUAUCAAACACAUUACUUUCAGUCGACUUAUUGUAGGAGUACAUGGUUGAAGUUUUCUAGUAAUGCAGUUGUACAUUGUAAGAGUUAAUAUCUAUUUACAAAACUGUCAACAUAUGGGGUUCUGUUAAAGUAAAGUAAAGUUUCUUUAUGCACUCUAGUGUGUGAGCUCAAACACUUGGAAAAUCCUAUUUGGAAAGAGAAAUGGGUUAAUUGUUGACGCAUAUAUAUAUCCAUCCAUACAUCCAUGCCAUGUCAGUGCGGAAUAAAUAGUGCUAUUCAUUUUAGAAGUCAGACAGUUUUCAGAUCCCUCUCUAUUUCAGUUAAAUAUGUAAAAUGUAUGAUAUCAGCACAUUGUAUUGUAUAGCCCUUGUGCAGUAACAUAAGGCAGGGUUGUUUUUGCUAUACAGUAGCUUGUUGUGUGAAUACAGGGAACUACAGAAUUAUCUUUGGAGCUGGCACUAGACUUACUAUAAGUUCAAGUAAGGAAUAUUUCACUACUUAUUAAAUGUAUAUAUUUCUUUAAACCACUCAAUAUAUUAAUAUAUAAAAAUAGUCUACUGUGAUAUAUUUCCGUAUAACCAACCAAUGACCUCGUAAGGAAUAUACUGUUAAUAAUACAAAAAGUACAAUUUUGGAUUGUGUCAGCACUUUUGUUUAAGCCGUGUAUAGUUAUUUUCAAAAAAGCUAUUGUUUUCAUAUCUUGUAUAUUGAUCAUCUAAGCAUCUUAUGUUGAAUUACUGGUACCAAUGACCACAAAACUAGUCCAUUAGCUUUAAUACCUGUCAGUUUUGUUGCAUUUAUGACCUAAUGAUUGAGUUUUGAUGUUAUGAAGUUAAUCAGAUUCCUAUCAGUAUUUCCCCUUAGUAUUUGUGUAUGAAGUUCACACAGUGUGACAUACGGAACAGAGAAAAUAUUUUUUGGAACUGGGACCAGAUUAAUCAUUCACACAAGUAAGGCUUUACUUAAAAUAUGAACCAUUCCUUAUGCUCAGGGGAUAAGACAUUUAAAAGUUAGGGUCCCCAUUUUGUAUAGCCAACUUCUAAAAGUUAAGUUUUAGUGUGAUCAACUGGCCUAGAUCAAGAACUGGUUAUUGAACAGGCCUCUAGCAUAGUGUGACACAAAGUGGGUCCCAGAAAAUUGUAUUUGGAAAUGGAACCACAUUGACUAUAAACAGCAGUAAGUAAUGUAUUUGAAAUUGUGAUAUUAGAUAUAUUUGAUCAAUUAUAUAUUGCUACAACACCAAAAAUAUUUUAAACAAUGUUUUACAUUAUUAUACUUACAAAUUGCAAAUAUAGUAAUUAUGUUGUUGGAAAAUAUUCUUUUAUAUGAAGAACACUAAUUGCAAUUGAAUCGUCGGUUUUCUGUCUUAAGUGGUAGAAACAAGUAGGAACAAUAUAAUCAACUACUUGAUUUUAUAAUUAUCCAGCGAAUAGAAGGUCUGAAGGUGAAAUUUAGUGUAGGAAUUGAUGUUGAUACGAUGGCACUAGAGAUUGAUGGAUAUUCUAUGUCAAAAAGGAGAAAUGUUAUGUUUAAACUAUAAAAAAGCCCCACAGAAUCCAAUGUCCAAAUCUAUACUUAUUUAAGGCAUAUGUUUCAUUCAGUGAUUGGCUUAGAUCUCUGAGUCAGUGUUUUUGUUGGGCUCUAUGCCAAUGUGUGAUGAAUGAUGGCAGCCGAAAAAUUAUCUUUGGAAGUGGAACCACCGUUGUUGUAGAAUCAAGUAAGAUGUUUACAGUAAUCAUUGUGUGUGAUAUACAAAGCAUUUGUGUAUAAUAUAGGACUAUAACUUUGUGUUAACAUAACAGACCUGGAGAUCCCUCUCUGUAGAACAUAACUGCUAUUUAGUUCUGAUUGAUUUAUAAUGCCAUCAUUAAUUCUCUAACACCUUACCCUUUGGAUUUACUUGGAUAGUUGCAGUGCUCAGUGUGUUAGGUGAUAUUUUGGAUAGUUGUAGUGAUCCCUGUGUUAAAGGUGAUAUUGUGGUUGUAAUUCUGAAAGGUUAUCUUCAGUAAUAUGUCAGAGGCUUGCUAGCCAUUACUUUGAACCAUUAUGGUGUGAAGAUAAAAGUGUAAAAUACAGGUAUUUAAGAAAUACAGCAGCAGAGGUUCUUGUUAAGAACAUCCACAAUGUGUGGAUGCUGGGGGAAGAAAGAUCAUCUUUGGAAAAGGGACAACUUUAGUUGUGCAUACAAGUAAGAAUUUAAACAUGAUAAUCACGCAUUGCUUGAAAGUCAAUAAUUCAACAUAGUUCAUCCAGCUGUUCUGAUUGCUUUCUUAUAGCAUUGCAGAACAUGCUAAGAUGUAGUACUCAGCCAAACAAGAACAUCUACAACAGUUAAGUUAGAUGUGUCUAUGGGUUACUACUUGUAAGAAGUAAAAACAGAAAAAUAUUCCUUACAUUUUGUAAUUUAGCUUGUAAAGGUAAGAUUAAGCUCAUUUGUGGGUCUUCUUAAAGUUUAACAGCUGAUUUGUCUGAAGCCCUCAAAGUAGCGUUUCUGCUGGACCACGUAUUAGUGUGUGAAUGAUGGAACAUGGAAAAUGAUCUUCGGGAAAGGGACAUCACUACUAGUCGAAUCAAGUAAGAAAUCUGAAACUUGGCUUUCAAGCAGUCUUGCAGACAAUUCUUUAGAGUUCCAAAUAGUUGCAAAAUGGCCUUUUUGUUAUAUUGUCCUUGCUAUUUGUUAUAAGUACAAAUUUGACAUUAUGUACAAUGUUACAUGCUAAAUGUGGUUAUGGAACUGCAUAUCAAUACUGUGUACUUUACAUACAUUCCAACAUUAACUCUAAUCCCAAACCUAAAAUUAAAUUAUGUCAAUAGAAUCAUUAGUCUGCUGUCAGUAUGUUCCACUGAAAGUGGGGUUCAAUGGCUACCUAAUAUAAAGUGAUCUCCUGGUUUAUUAAUACAUGAACAUGCUUACAUAAAAAACAAAAACAUUAGAAAAAAAUUUGAAUUCCACAUAAAUUGUGUUAAAGGACUUUACAUGAGAUGAUAUUGCUUGCAGAGAUAUUAGUGUGAGGUCUGUCAUUGUGUGACAUCAAAUAACGGGAAAAUCACAUUUGGUUCGGGGACGAAAUUGACAGUAGAAUCCAGUAAGUACAAAUGUGAUAUCUGGCAUAUAUAGAGACAAUUUUGACAUGUACCAAAGAUAGGUGUUUAGUAACCUAUUUCAACGCUUGUUCAUUUAUUCCCCUUAAUGUUUAUAUUUUUGAGGUCAGUGUUCAACUGAUAGAUUAGCUGCUCUUUCAAUUAGAUGUUUCUUCUGGGCUACAGUUGUGAGGUUUGACAGUAGACUGACCAGUAGUGAAAUGACAAACUCGUCCAUUUAGUUCAUAUUUGCAAUGGACAGUACCACUCAAAAGUAUGCAAUGUGAUAUUUAUCACUGAUUUGCUCAGAUGAACCAUUCUGGUCAAUGAUUAAAUCAUGGAUACAGUGAAGGUUUUUGUUAUGAGGCCAGAGACUGUGUGAAUAACAAUAACAAGAUAAUAUUUGGAAGAGGGACCCUGCUUAGAGUUGAAGCGCGUAAGUAGAAGAUUUAAUUCUUUAUUUUUCAGUAUUAUGACAAACUAAAUAUUUGUAUUGUUGGGGGGAGUGAGAUUUUUUUUUUCUUCAUUUAAUUACACUUUACAGGACUAGUGCAGAUUAUGGUGAUUUUAUAUACUAGAAAAGCUGUUGAGUGCCCAUUAGAGUUAACAUGCUGAAGUAAAUAUAGAGUAGACAUGUGCUUUGGGCUGAGUUGGUGUAUUUGCUGUGACAUUUAGUAUUGUGUGAAUACUAACGAGAAGAUUAUCUUUGGAAGUGGAACAAAGGUGUUCAUAGAAUCAAGUAAGCCAUGUGUUUCCAUCCAUUUGAGACAAUAUGAACAUGUUUAGGGAUUGUCUUCAUAAAAUUAUGUUAGGGUAUUUUUUGAACUGUACAACUGAUCAGGCAGUGAAUACUCUUCGUACACUUUUAAAGUGACUGUAAAAUGUAUCAGUGAAACACAUUGUGUGCAUGCAGACACACUCACAUCACAAUUACAAUUUUCUUUAGUUGGCGUUGAAGUCAUGAUAAUAGUAUUGUUUCUACAGAGCUAGAAGUUCACCUCUAACUACUUAAUUAAUGGUAAAAAGAUGAUAGUGUAAGGCCUAGUUACCUUUUAAAUGUCACUUUAUAUUUGAAAAACAUAUGAGGAUAAUCCCACAAAGACAAUCUAUAUAGAUGCUAUGACCACUGAUGUUAUUAGACAGGAGUUUUGUACUGUGUGACUGGGACUGGUAACCAGAAACUAUUCUUUGGAGCGGGGACUAAAUUAAUCAUUGAAAAAAGUGAGUACGAAUUUAAAAUAUGAAUUGUUGAUGGGGCGGAAGAAUGAUGGCUGAAAGCUAUAAAUAGUGGAUUCAUUUUACUCUACUCAGGAUCCAGGUUACAAUAAACAUUACUACAACACUUCAUUGCUAAGUAGUUAGUAGUAAUUGCUUUGUAGUAAAUCUUUACAUGACGUUAUGCAACUUCAAACAACUGGAAAGUCAUAUUUGGAGCAGGAAUGAAUUUGACAGUUGAAUCCAGAGAGUAUAAAAGUGAGGUAUAGAAUGUAUACACUCUUAAUUUUUAUCAUAGCGAAGGGAAGAUGUAUAAUCAAUACUAGUGAGUAAGCAUGUAGACUCUGAAUAGGUUGACUGAAUUUCUGUCUCACUGGACAUUACAUUACAUAGUACUUAGUUCGAUGUGGUACACAAUUACAUCCUAGCUUAAUGACAUAUGACAUUUUAAAUCAUUUACCAAAUGUUUGUCGUUCAGAAAUAUCUCACAACAUGUUAAAACAAAUUCACAAAUUCAUUGGCUAAUUAGAAUCAUGAAACAAUGGUAUCGUAAAGCUGAGGGCAUUUGUAGUUGAUUAGCAAAGAAGCUACAGUGCUGUACAUGAUAUAUUCAUGGUUUUUGUAAUAAGGCCAAUGGCUGUGUGAAUAACAAUGCCAAGAUGAUAUUUGGGAAAGGGACCCAGCUCAGAGUUGAAUCACGUAAGUUGCAGUUCAAGUUAUAUUUCAAUAUCCCAUAAAAAAAAACAGUGUUUGUAUUUACCGAGUUACUGUUCAACUUAUUCGUACUUUUGCUACAAAGUUUUUUCAUAUAUCUAUAGUUUCAAGUUUGAACCUUAAACUAGGAAAGGAAAGUUGGCAAAAGUCCUGCUCAGGGAGUGUAGAAAAAGGCUUCAGCAGCACAACAGAUGUCCAGACAUCAAGUCUAAUUUAGAAUUCCUGAAAAAAUAUUUUAGUCCCUUUAUAUUAAUAAUAAUAAUUGGAGAUCACUCAGAGGUGUGAGCUAUGAUGUCUGUAUAGCUGACUAGCUUUGAUUACACAUUACUGGAAGCACUCAAAGUUUUUGUAUUGAGGCCACAGUCUGUGUGAAUGAUAUCAAGCUGAUAUUCGGAAAAGGGACCCUUCUUAGAGUUGAAGCACGUAAGUUGUGGUUGAUCAUUUAUUGUAAAAUGCUAAAACAAAGAAAAUGUGUCUGUAUUUAUGUAGUCAGCAUUCCAUAUAGCAUAUAGUCAGUCUUUGUUGGUCUGGGUUAGAAAAGGUAUUUCUAAUGACAUUGUGGCUAUAGUAUAGCAGCAGAUACACCGGGAAUGUGUGACAUAUACUGCUAAUGAUUCAGUUUUUAAAUGUUC
ensembl:lncRNA